rnacentral:lncRNA from 1 species
GAGAAACAAAGGGAUAAUUACAUGAAACUACUAGCGUUAAACAUAAGUCACAUGACCAGGCAGAAGCUUGAAAUUACUUUGGGGAAGACGCCAACAAAAAAACAUUAUAUUAUAAUGGCAUCACCUAUGAACCACCACCACCAACACCCACCCACCCACCACCACCACCACACCCCCACCUUCACUACCCAUCGCUACCACAUGACCACCACCCACUACCUACAACCACUAACAUUGUAUGUGAUUAAAUACAUACAAUGGAAUAAAUCAUGUGUGAUUAUAUGUAUUUUUUUAUAUGUAUUUAAUCACAUAAAUCACAUGUGAUUAAAUACAUAUAAGCACGUGUGAUUAUAUGUAUUUAAUCAUAUGAUUUAUAUAACCAAGAUUCAUUAAAACAAAUAUUUUCCAAAUAAAGGGUGACUUUUUUCUUUACUCAAAAGCCUGUUCAAGCCUUCUUUAAUGGUUAGACUCUAGCCUCUAAUAAAGAUCGAGAUAAGGGCAUUUCUUUGAGAAAGUAUAGGAGAAGCUUGAUGCUUCAGAUCCAACCCCGACAACUCAAACUUGUUUUUUGGCUAGCAAGAAAUAGGCACUUGUUCUUACCUAUCUAAACUCUAUUUUGGCUUGUUAUAAGAUUAGUACUGGUUCUUACCAUCAAUCUCUUUCCUAUCUAUAAUGGUGGGUACAUCAAUUCUUGUUGAUCACAUUCAUGGGGGAGAACACUUAUGAUUAAAUACAUAUAAUCACAUGCGAUUAAACCAAAUACCUACCACCACCACCCUCCACCGUCACCCACCACCACCACUGUCACCUACCACCCAACACCCACCACUUAUCACUACUCUCCACUACCCACCACCCAUUUUAUUCACAUUUGAUUCAAUAUUUGUUCACGUGUAUAUAAUUACAUGAGAUUAUAUAUGUAUUUCAUCAGAUAUGAUUUAUAUUGAUAAAAUUCAUUUGUGUCCAUAUAAAUCAUAUGUAAUUACAUACAUAUAAUCACAUGUGAUUAAAUACAACAGAAAGUUUAUUGAAUCGAAAGAGCAAAAAUAAAUCUUGCCCAAAUAAUGAUAUGUGAUUGGAUACAUAUAAUCGCAUCUAAUCAUAUAUGAUUUAUGUGGAUAAUAUUCAUUUUCCUGUUUGUAGUUCAAUAGUUCAUCUCAUGUAUUUAAUUACAAGUGAUUAUACAUAUUUAAUCACAUAUGAUUUAUAUUUGAAAUAUUUGUUUUCGUGUGUAUAAUCACAUGUGUUCAAAUAGACGAGAAUAACUAAUGAUUCAAUAACGCGAACACGAGUCUUGUCCACAUAAAUCAUAUGUGAUUACACACAUAUAAUCACGUGUGAUUAAUUACACGAAACCGACUAUUUAAUUGAAAACGUGAAAAUGAAAAUUUCACAAAUAAAUCGUAUGUGAUUAAAUACAUAUAAUCACAUAUGACUCAUAUAGACAAAAUUAUUUUUUGCGUUCUCGAUUUAAUAUUAUUUAUCUUGUAUUUAAUCACAUGUGAUUAUAUGUAUCUAAUCAUAUUAUAUUUAUAUGAACAAAAACGAAUUGUUUCNACCACCACCACCACACCCCCACCUUCACUACCCAUCGCUACCACAUGACCACCACCCACUACCUACAACCACUAACAUUGUAUGUGAUUAAAUACAUACAAUGGAAUAAAUCAUGUGUGAUUAUAUGUAUUUUUUUAUAUGUAUUUAAUCACAUAAAUCACAUGUGAUUAAAUACAUAUAAGCACGUGUGAUUAUAUGUAUUUAAUCAUAUGAUUUAUAUAACCAAGAUUCAUUAAAACAAAUAUUUUCCAAAUAAAGGGUGACUUUUUUCUUUACUCAAAAGCCUGUUCAAGCCUUCUUUAAUGGUUAGACUCUAGCCUCUAAUAAAGAUCGAGAUAAGGGCAUUUCUUUGAGAAAGUAUAGGAGAAGCUUGAUGCUUCAGAUCCAACCCCGACAACUCAAACUUGUUUUUUGGCUAGCAAGAAAUAGGCACUUGUUCUUACCUAUCUAAACUCUAUUUUGGCUUGUUAUAAGAUUAGUACUGGUUCUUACCAUCAAUCUCUUUCCUAUCUAUAAUGGUGGGUACAUCAAUUCUUGUUGAUCACAUUCAUGGGGGAGAACACUUAUGAUUAAAUACAUAUAAUCACAUGCGAUUAAACCAAAUACCUACCACCACCACCCUCCACCGUCACCCACCACCACCACUGUCACCUACCACCCAACACCCACCACUUAUCACUACUCUCCACUACCCACCACCCAUUUUAUUCACAUUUGAUUCAAUAUUUGUUCACGUGUAUAUAAUUACAUGAGAUUAUAUAUGUAUUUCAUCAGAUAUGAUUUAUAUUGAUAAAAUUCAUUUGUGUCCAUAUAAAUCAUAUGUAAUUACAUACAUAUAAUCACAUGUGAUUAAAUACAACAGAAAGUUUAUUGAAUCGAAAGAGCAAAAAUAAAUCUUGCCCAAAUAAUGAUAUGUGAUUGGAUACAUAUAAUCGCAUCUAAUCAUAUAUGAUUUAUGUGGAUAAUAUUCAUUUUCCUGUUUGUAGUUCAAUAGUUCAUCUCAUGUAUUUAAUUACAAGUGAUUAUACAUAUUUAAUCACAUAUGAUUUAUAUUUGAAAUAUUUGUUUUCGUGUGUAUAAUCACAUGUGUUCAAAUAGACGAGAAUAACUAAUGAUUCAAUAACGCGAACACGAGUCUUGUCCACAUAAAUCAUAUGUGAUUACACACAUAUAAUCA